UUGGAUUGGGCUCUGGGCAGCCUGGUCUAGUAUUAAAUGUGGAGGUUGGUGGCCCUGCAUGUGGUGGGAGGGGGAGGUUGGUUGGUGCUUCAUGAUCCUUGAGGUCCCUUCCAACCCUGGCCAUUCUGUGAUUCUGUGAUCCUUUCAAAUGUUUUUAAGAACCAUGAAUGAGAAGAACUCUAAAACCUAAACUGAUUUUAGGGUGGACUUGAAAAAAUACUUAGUAGGUACCAUAGCAAAUUAAUUCCACUUUACCAUUAAUUCCUGUUUGUUUGAAAACGAAUAACUCAAUAAUUUCUGUUAAUAAUUCUUAACUGAAUGUUUCUGAAAAAACUACUAGGAUUUCUGCAGUCAGAGUUGAGCCAUUUUAGUUUUAAUGUGUUGAAUAUUUUGAAUCUCACUGAAAAAUUUUGUUAUAUGUAUACAUGUAUAUAUUUAUUAUUCCAAACAGCAAUAGUAUUUGUUUUCUCUACUCUUUCCAACAACCUUGCUUGUGCUACAGAUAUUAUCAAGGUUAGCAUAUCAAAUCAAUAUCAGUGAUGCUGGGCUACAAAAAUUAAGCCAGUAAUUUGCUUUUAUUAGCUUUUUUAUUAAUUAUUUUUUUUUUUAAAUUGGAGACAGUAUUCAAAGAGAAUGUUAUAAAUGGAGUUUGCAUUUUCCUUCUUGCCUGAACCGAAUCUUGAUCUGUUAUGCACAAAUCUUUAUACUGUUGUGCAUUUUUAUUAUUAGAAUGAAUUUAUCCAGAAAUGCUGGAAACUCCUAGGUAAAUUUUGUACUUUUUUAUUUUAAAAUGGAAUGUGUUCCACUUCAUCUGUCAAAUAGGUGUCCUGAUUUUGGCUUAGAAUGGCUGAUGUGGUGCUGUGUUGUGGAUCUGGGGUGGGAAUAAUGGUACCAUGCCAAUGUUUUCCUUGUUGCUGAGCAGUGCUGCACAGAGCUAAAGAUGUUCCAGUUUCUCAGCACUUCUACUGCUCGGCCAGCAAGGGGCUGGGAACAAAAGGAGCUGGGAGGGGACAGAACCGUGACAGCUGACUUAAACUGGCCAGAGGGGUUUUCCAUACCAUAUGGCAACAUGCUGAGCAAUAACACUGGGAGAGUUGGCUAAGGAAAGGCGGCUGUUUCUUGGAGACUGGCUGGGCAUCAGUUGGCAAGUGUUCUCUCCCCCAUCCCACUGGAGGUGUAUGAGCGAACAGCUGUGUGUUCCUGAGCUGCCUGCUGGGUUAAAUCCCCCCCAAAAGCUGAAACAAUUGGAGAAGAAAAGAAAAUUGGCAGUGUUCAAGAGGCAUCUGGAUGAGGAGCUACGAGAUGUGGUUUAGUGCUUGGGUCACAAUGUAUCAUCUUUGGGCAGAACUAAUGGUUCACUGCUGCCAAAACUGUUUGAAAAUGGAUGUUCCUUAUUCUUGGCUUUGUAGAUUGGUGAUCUCAGAGUAAACUUUCAUUUUCCCACACAAAAUUGUGUUUGUUGACCCCAAACUGGCAGAGAAUGGCUACAUAAUGUGGAAUGACAGUUACCUGUGGUAUAUUUGAAUAUCUUCUUCAAGAUCUACAAGUGAAACUUUAUAAGAGAAAAACCAAACCUCAAUGGAAAAGAUUUAUUUUUUUCUUUUAUGAUUGAUGAUCCAAUACGCACUUUCAAGUCCUGUCCUCCAAUGGAAGAACACGAAAUGAAGUGGAAGAGAUAGAGCCUCAUCACUAAAAAAAGCGAGCAAGCUAUCCCUUACUUGGGCAUGUGGAGGCUCAAUCACAGUAUUCUUAAACGCACAAGUAGAUAAAAGGUGAAGAGGUGAGUGGCUAACCAGACAGGAUGUAUACUGUCUGGAAAACUGAAGUUGUAAAAGCUGAAGAUGAGAAAAUCUGAGAAGGAGAAAGUGAGCUGAGGAGAAAUGUCAGGAAGAAGAGUAAAUGGAGAAAAAUAAACCAGUGGUUUGGUCUCAAAAUGUAGAAUCGUAAAAUAGAUGUAUACUUGAUUUCAUAAGUAGAUGGUUUCACUUUUUGUAGCACAAUCUAUAAUAAACUAGAAGUACUUGCAAAUACAGUCAGCUAUAUUUUAAAUACAAAUACAGAAUGAAGAAUUGACAUUCCUUAUACAUAUGACUUUAAAACUGUGAUUCUGCCAAAUCUGAGAAAUAUAAAUCUUCAUGCAGCAUGCUAUAUUAUAAUCCAAAUAUUUUGACUUAAAUGGGAUGUGUGUCUCCUUCCUCCUGCAGCAGUGCUAAGUAAAUGUGUUACUGAAGGUGUAAGAUGAUAGAAUUUAUUUGACUUUCUUCUUGGCUGGUCUCUGUUAUUGUUUUCACUAGAUGUGAAGCACCACAUGUUGAAUUUCCUCUAAGGAAUUUACUUGAAAUUUGUAUUGCCAAGCACCUCUGUGCAGCUUGGAAGAGAAAUAAAAUAUAGACUUUAUUCAUUUAUUCAUGGUAAUUUGGAUUUAGAAAUCUGCUAGUGAUGCCAAGAUAGAAAUUAUGAGGGCUGCUCUGAAAGAAAUAGAAUCAUAUUACGGAGUCAUAGAAUUGUUUGAGUUGGACAGGAUAUUUUCAGUGUUAAAGGAACCAACGGGAAACAGAAAAUGGAAUUUGCAUUAUUUUUCAGAUGAAAUACCAUAAUCUUGAUUCUCUGUGUAAAUCAUGGGUGUUUUUUCUGUUGUUGCUUUGUAUUGCUAUUUUGGUUUGGUUUGGUUUGGGUUUUUUUUGGUCUCUUUUUUAUGGGUCACUAACUGUUUUGUCAUAUAAAAGUUAAAAACUCAUAGAACAUCAAAAUAAUUGCUUAGGCUUUUGAGAAAUUACUAUUCUCUAUGAAUUUGUUCUGAAACAAUUAUACUUAAUUCUAGCAAAAAAAAAAAAAAGUGAUCUUUUCCAUUAGAGAUCGAGUGAUUUCUUAGCCAAAUAUUUACUGACUGUAAGCAAGAGAUAAAGAAGUUUAUUUCUUUUUUAAAUCAAUGUUAAAGAGACAUUAAGAAUCCUCUCCAUUCAUCUUUUUGUGUCAUGUAAAAGCAGGUUCAUGAAAUUAUAAAAACAUAACAACGGAUACCUAUCAUUUCUUCAGCAGAGAUUUGUUGUAUUUUUAUCCUUUUAUGAGCUGGAUCUCUAAUGGCACUAUUUCCUAACGCAGCUUUUCUGUAGAAAGUUGGAACAUUUAGACUCUAGGCUUCCUCUUCUUUUUUGUACGUAUUUUUUCAGUUUGGAGCAAUACUUGUAUCUGUAUGUGCUGUAGCACAUAGAUACACAGCUUGUUUGCUGAUGUUGAGGAUUUAUAACAAAAUGUGUUAAAUGGUAGCUGGAUACUGAGUUAGGAAAUGACUUUUAAAAAAUUUAUAUCAUUUUGAGAAAAAUGGUAAAUAAAUAUUUUUCACUGUCUUGGCUUUGGUUUGGCCGCCAGAUGAUUUAGCACUGAGUGAAACAUAGGUAGUCAGGUAAUGUCUUACUUACACAUGAUGAAAAUCACACUAAGUGGAAAUAAUGAAAAAAAUUAAUAAUUUUUGUGCUCUUGAUUUUGGCACUGUCAUCACUGGUAUGGUUUCCUUGGCCUCCUUUCCUAAACUUUCCUUCUAAUAAUAUUUUAUGAGUAUCUGCUUAUGUAUUUCUUCACUAGGAAAUCAUUUAAUUAUGAAUAAUUUCUAACAUAUAAAUUAUGCCUUUUUCCAUUCACACAAAUUUUCCAAGCAUUUCUAUUUAUAAUUUUUAGCUAUAUAAUAAUUUGUUGUCAGAAAAUAUAGAUGAGUUGUUAAGGAGAGAUAUAUCUUCUAUUUCUGUACAUACUUCAUUAAGCAAACCAAAUAAGCUAAAAACAAAUCACCAACACAGUCUUAGCUCUAAAGAUUAAAGAGUUUCCUUCUGUGAUAUACUGCAUCCUUCCUAUUUACCAUAUAUAGAUUUAUUUAUGUUGCAUACACAUUAUCCACCUGUAAGUCUUGACUUACCCUGGCAUAUGGAUCUAUAAGUGUUUUUUUGGAAAAAAAACAAAAACAUAAAACCAAACAUUAUUAAAUAUUUCAGUAUGGAAGUUAAUAAAAGGGAUCUUCCACAGUCCAGGAACAAUUUCAUUGGAAUAUGAAGGUCUUAGAAUUCUCCUGUGACAGUGCAGACAGCACUAUGUUUGCACAUCUCCCAUUUCCUUGCGGUCUUCAAUCCCAAACUUCUGCUAUCACAGUUUAAGCUGCCUGAGAUGAGCUUCAUGUUACUGCCACACAGCAUGGGCUUGACUUAAAGUUUUGGGUUUUCUAAAAAGAAAUAAGAGGAAUCGAGUAACUAAAACCUCUGAUGUCAACCAUGGAAAACGAUACUCAUAUAUUUUUUUCCAUGAACAUGAUUUUGGUUUGGCAUCCUCAGCAAGUUGUGAAGGCAUACCAAACUGAGUGGUGCUGUUGGUACAGUAGAAGGAAGGAAUCCCAUCCAAAGGAACUUUGGAAAACUUGAAAAGUGGGCUUAUGUAAACCUAAUGAGAUUCAACAAACUCAAGGGCAAAGUGUUGCACUUGGUUCAGGACACUCCCAGAUAUGUAUAUGGACUGGGAGAAGAACUGAUGGAGAGUAGCCCUGUGAAAAACGAUUUGGGGGUCUUUGUAGAUGAAAAACAUAACAUGAGCAGAAAUGUGUUCUUGCAGCCCUGAAGGCCAACUGUACCUUGGUCUGCAUCAAAAGAUGCUGGCCAGCAGGGUGAUGGACAAGAUGAUUGUCUCCCUCUGUUCUGCCCUCAUGAGGCCCCAUCUGGAGUACUGCAAUCAGACAAAAAGCCCCAAAUCAGGAAAGAUGGAGAGGGGCCACAAGGAUGAUCAGAAGGCUGGAGCCCUUUUACAUGAAAAUGGCAAAGUAUCCUUCAGAGUAGAACAUCAGCAACAGAUGUUUCACCGCUCAGGACUGUGCAGUAUCCCUUAUCACACCAAGAGCCUCCAUAUAAUGAUGACUGGUGAGUUGUGUUUGAGCUGGUGACCUUGAGGUAAGAACCUAUGGAUCUGAACAUGAAUCUACAGAGUCAGCUGAUUCUUGAUCCUUCUGCUCCUCAAUCUCCUGCGCUUUCCGUAUGCCAGGAAAACUGCCAGCUCAUUCCCUUCUAGUGAGACCCAGUCUCCCAUACACAACUUCCAUGCAGGUCCCAGAACUCUUGCAGUGAUUGCAGGCUGUCAUGCUGUCUGCUCAUCUGCAGGUGGCAGCAGGACAGAUCUGUGUGGCUUGCAGGGCCCAGGGACUGAUCCUGCUAUCCCAAGUGUGCUGCAGAGCUCUUGCAUUCAAAGGCACUUUUGCCUUCAUGUCAAUUUCAGUCUUCACAAGUGUGAAAAUUGUUUUAAUAUCUCAUUCAUUCUUUGCUUAUUUCUUUUGGGUGUUCUCAUAGUACUACUUCUAUGGUAGUGUCUUUUAAUCUUUUGUAGAAUACAGCAAAUUGCAAAUGCACAAUCUUACACAGUCUUACAUAAAAAGCAUACAGCUUAAAGGCCCUGCUUCUAUUCUGACUGCUGCAGAAAGGCUCCUCUUAUGUCUGGUUGUAGGUUGUCUAGUUGAGGUGUCUCCUUUUUGGAGGAAAUCAGGCUUUUUCUGUGUUCCAAGAAAGAAAUGUGGUCAAAUCUAACUAUCCAUCACAUUUUGUUAUGUAUUUUGCUUUAAAUGCUAAUGAUUGUAGCUGGUCUGAUAAAGAAAGAUAUAUAUAUGCCAGCCUUAGGGCAACUGGCAUGGCACAGCUGCACUCUCUUACAGCCUCAAAAUAGGACAUAUGCAUAAGAAGUUUCUGUUGGCACUGCACUGAUCCCGAACUAUGUGUGGGCACAGGGAGAAGUACAUGCUCAUGUUUUGACAUGUAGUUUGCUAAAUAUCAAACAGUAUGGACAACGGCAAACCAGCACUUCUGCCUCCCUUCACCUUUUUAUUUCCUGGAAUAGAUGUGGCUAAUUUGGAUUAUCACACCCCUUUCUUCCCAAGAACUCCCUUUUAAUUUAGGGUGUUAAAUAAUAAAAAGCUAUAAUGCUUCAGCUCUAGGUCGAGGACUAAAUACAUAAAAGCUCUAGUAAUUUUAUUUUUUUAUUUCAGCAUAAUUUAUCUUUCUCCCUACAAAAUAACAUCACACAAACAAUUCCCCCCAUCCCCCUUCCCAAACUAUUAGUGGUUAAUCUGUAGAAAGAACAAACAUCUAGCACUGCUUAACAGCUAUCUCUGCCAGAUAGUCCACUUCAGUCAACAGGUGCAUUUAAUUUCAGUGUGACUGCCUUCUUCAUGCUCUUAGGGAAAAGGAUAGAUAUAUAUGUUCCUGAAUUAGACUUUGAGAAAACAACCUCUAGCUCUGUUGCCUGCCUGUCUGAUUGAGAGGCAGUCCUGCAGAGGCUGAUGCAAGGACAGUGCCUCUGAGUGACAAGUGUAUAUGUGUCAGAACAAAGAGAUAGAAAUCACUGAAAGAAACACUAAUUAGCUCUUAUGAAUGUUUUUGUUUUUAAAUUACCACUUGAGGAAAAAAAAAUAAAUCUCUUCUUAGAUUAUAAUUAAGCUCGAGAAUAAACACAUCUCAUUUCAGAUGUUGGAAAAUUUUUUGAUAGUGCUGACAGAGAAGGUUAAUAUCUCUCUGAUAAGGAAAUAUCAAUCGUGUCUGUGCCUGUAUGCAAGGACAAGUAUUUGAGGAAUCACAUUUUUAGAGUAACUGCAUGGGCAGCAGUUUAUAUGAUGUAGCAUGUAGAUGAAGUCAUUUAGGUUUUCUUCAGUAUGCCAGCAAGACUAUAAAUAUAAAAUUUAAUAUGUCUCUAUUCGUAUUUAUAGCUGUAAAACACGACUAUAGAGGAAAUGAAAGAAAAAACAACAACCAUGGCUUUAAUUUUAUUUUCUACAUGCCUACCCAUCUUUGAGCUUAAAUAUUAAUGAAGCCAUUUUACAUAAAUAAAUUAUUAAAACUUUCAGACCUGGU